GAUGAACGCUGGCGGCGUGCCUAAUACAUGCAAGUCGAGCGAACAGACGAGGAGCUUGCUCCUCUGACGUUAGCGGCGGACGGGUGAGUAACACGUGGAUAACCUACCUAUAAGACUGGGAUAACUUCGGGAAACCGGAGCUAAUACCGGAUAAUAUAUUGAACCGCAUGGUUCAAUAGUGAAAGACGGUUUUGCUGUCACUUAUAGAUGGAUCCGCGCCGCAUUAGCUAGUUGGUAAGGUAACGGCUUACCAAGGCAACGAUGCGUAGCCGACCUGAGAGGGUGAUCGGCCACACUGGAACUGAGACACGGUCCAGACUCCUACGGGAGGCAGCAGUAGGGAAUCUUCCGCAAUGGGCGAAAGCUUGACGGAGCAACGCCGCGUGAGUGAUGAAGGUCUUCGGAUCGUAAAGCUCUGUUAUUAGGGAAGAACAAAUGUGUAAGUAACUAUGCACGUCUUGACGGUACCUAAUCAGAAAGCAACGGCUAACUACGUG
rnacentral:rRNA from 1 species